GUGUGAAGCGUUUGCUGUCAGUCACCCCAGCUGAGCCCAGGCUCCAGGAGCCCUUGAUGCAGAUCGAUGUGGAGUGAAUGAGAACCACAUUAGAAGCAGCUGAGGAGUGAUGUGCAGCUGGCACUAAAAGGAAACCAGAAGAAGACAACUCAGGAGCAGAGCCCAGGGUGUAUAUUGAUGUUGAAAGCUCGUGACAGCCCUCAGCUUUCCACCUCUGUCUGCCGUACAAGCGCUAGUAUUCAAAAGGAGAGGCCCUGCACCAUCCUUUGCCUCACAAUGCCUCCAGCAUGGAAGCUUGAGGAUGUGUCAUCAGAAUGAAGGAAUGCAGCCAGCAAAGCCAGGCCUAAGGAAGAGAGAAGGCGGCGCGCAUGAAGAAGAGUAAGCAGGAUGAUGGCUCCUGGCCACACUGGGGUGAAGCCUCCUCUCUGCUUCUGCCCUGGCACAUGGCAACGAGCUAUCCAUGACUGCAGGAAGAGAGGACUUUGGAAGGUCGGGGACAGAUACUUGCCUUAUUGAG